rnacentral:rRNA from 1 species
UGAGGAAUUUUGCGCAAUGGGAGCAAUCCUGACGCAGCAACGCCGCGUGGGUGAUGAAGGCCUUCGGGUCGUAAAGCCCUGUCAGGUGGGAAGAAUGUCCCGGGACUGAACAGGUUCCGGGAGUGACGGUACCACCAGAGGAAGCACCGGCUAACUCCGUGCCAGCAGCCGCGGUAAUACGGAGGGUGCAAGCGUUCUUCGGAAUUACUGGGCGUAAAGCGCGGGUAGGCGGUCCUGCAAGUCUGAGGUGAAAGCCCCGGGCUUAACCCGGGAAGUGCAUUGGAAACUGGGGGACUUGAGUACUGGGGAGGAUGGGGGAAUUCCCGGUGUAGAGGUGAAAUUCGUAGAGAUCGGGAGGAAUAUCAGUGGCGAAGGCGCCCAUCUGGACGGUAACUGACGCUGAGACGCGAAAGCGUGGGGAGCAAACA